CAACAGAGCCAUUUUUAAAGGCCCCGCCCUCCCACGGUCUGACACACACCAGCGGGCCUGGCCAUCUAACCUCCCAACGGUGACUCGGCCACAGUCCCCAACACCUGGCCAGCCUCGCCCGCGGCGGGUGCUGGGCACAGGAGACAGAACCCGGGACUGGCCACACCAGAAGGCUGCCACGUUCUCCCCUUCUGCACCCGCCCAUGCCUGAAGCCCAGGGGCCACUUGUGACCCUGCGCAGCUGCGGGAGAGGGCUGACCUCGUUCAUCCGGAGUCCCUCUCCAGGCUCCACUGCUCCCAGACAGAGAUGUGUUCUGCCAUGUCGCCCAGGCUGCUCUGGAACUCCCGGGCUCAAGUGAUCCUCCUGCCUCCGUCUCCCAAGUGCUGGAACAGGCAUGUGCCACCCAGCCCAGCCAUUGUAGUCCAUUCCAAGUGCACAGCUCAGUGGUAUUAAGUGCAUUCCCGUCCCCACUGUAGGUCUCCAGAACUUUCCAUCACCCCACACUGCCCCUUUCAACACGAGCCCCCACCUCCUAUUUCCUGCCUCGGUGGCUCUGGGGGCUCCAGGAGCUUCAUGCAGGAGGAUCCUGCAGCGUGUGGUGUGUACUCUGACUCAUUUCCCUGGGUCCAUCCACACUCCUGUAGGUGUCAGGAUCCCUUCCUUUUUAAGUCUGCAUGAUAUUCCAGUGAGUGGACAGGCCGCAUCCGCAUCGGGUGUGUCCGCUCGUCUGUGCACAGACGUUUGACUUGUUUCCACCUGUUUAUUUAUGUAUUUACUUGUUUAUUUUUGGUACUGAUUGAAGCCAGAGGUGCUUAAGCACUGAGCCAAAUCCACAGCUCUCUAUUAUUAUUUGAGGMAGGGUCUCACUAAGUUGCUCAGGGCCUCACAAAGUUGCUGCAGCUGGCUUUGAACUUCCRCUCUGCAGCCUCCCAAGGCUCUGGGAUCACAGGCGUGCGYCACCGAGCUCCACUGUGCCCACGUCAGCUGCUGUUGGCACUUUGGAACCAGACUCCAUCAGACUCCACCCGAAGUCUUCCAGAAGGUUCUCCUGAUGUUGUGCUGAUCUGCCUCUCUGGGAGUUUAGUGCAGGGCAUGCUCUUUUCUCUCUCCAGUGCUGGGACAGAAACCCAGCCUCAAGCUCCCUAAACAGUGCUCGGCCACUGAGCCACACCCUGGGCCCAAGUUUCUUUCUUUCUUUCUUUUUCUUUUUCUUUUUGGUGAUACUGGGGAUGGAUUCCAGGGGUACUCUGCCACUGAGCUGCACCUCAGACCAACCUUCCUGAACUGGACAGACCUGGCAUCUCACAUGCAUUCAUUUCCAAGAUGGUUUCUGCAGCUGAACAGCCUCCCUCCUUCCACCAGCUCACACAAGAAGCAGACUCUCGUGGCUGUGGGACAGCGUCCACUCCACGCCCUUGUUUAUCAGGUGGUUAAAUAUUUUGAAUAUCAAUCUUGGAUAUUUAUUCACCCAAACUCCUAUUACAUGACAUUUGGAUCAUCGCCUCUAUUUUGCUUUA